rnacentral:rRNA from 1 species
AUGUGCAUUGACUCCGCUUUAAAGCAAAUAAAAGGUAUAACACAAUAUUUUGAAAAGUACAGAGAUGAGGAGUUUUCUUCAAGUUUGAGCAUCGCUAAAGUUAUUGCAAUUGAAAUGGGAAUAUAGCCAUAUUUUCCAGUGAAACGUCGUGCUAAGAGGAAGAAACAGUAGGACGAAAGUGAUUGUCAAGAAGAAAUUCUAGAAGCUGAGAAGGCUUUCCGAGUUAAGUAUUUUAAUGCUUUGGUUGAUGUGGCAAUCACUUCUUUGAAUGACAGAUUUAAAGAACUCAUGGUGUUUAAGGAUAUAUUCGGAUUUUUAUUGAGCUCGGGCACCCUGAAGUCAUUAAGUGACAAUGAACUUGAAGAGUGUUGCACAAAAUUUGCAGAAACUUUCUCUCUUAAUGGUUCAUCUGAUGUUGAGGUAUACGAUCUUAUUUCUGAAUUGAAUAUUAUGAUAUUCACUUUGCCAGAUGGCGUAAUGUGUGCUAUGGAGAUUUUCGGGCAUGUCAGAGAAGUUGAUUGCUAUCCAAAUAUCUCCAUUGCCUAUCGCGUCUUAUUUAAUGUGCUUGUGACGGUCGUAUAGGCCGAAAGAACCUUUUUGAAGUUGAAAUUAUUGAAGAAUUAUCUGGGGUCUACAAUGACUCAAAAGAGGUUAAAUGGUUUGGCUACGUUAUGCAUCGAGAAGAAAUUAUUAGAUGAAACUGACAUCGACCCCAUCAUAAGUGACUUUGCAUCGAGGAAUGUUAGAAGAAAUUUUUAA